UAUGGCAGAAUAGUGCAAUGGAUUUAAGCCCCGUACAUAAAAUAAUAAUUUUUAUUAAAA
rnacentral:tRNA from 1 species